GCAUAUCAAUAAGCGGAGGAAAAGAAACUAACAAGGAUUCCCCUAGUAACUGCGAGUGAAGCGGGAAAAGCUCAAAUUUAAAAUCUGGCGGUCUUUGGCCGUCCGAGUUGUAGUCUGGAGAAGUGCUUUCCGCGCUGGACCGUGUAUAAGUCUCUUGGAACAGAGUGUCAUAGAGGGUGAGAAUCCCGUCUUUGACACGGACUACCAGUGCUUUGUGAUGCGCUCUCAAAGAGUCGCGUUGUUUGGGAAUGCAGCGCAAAAUGGGUGGUGAAUUCCAUCUAAAGCUAAAUAUUGGCGAGAGACCGAUAGCGAACAAGUACCGUGAGGGAAAGAUGAAAAGCACUUUGGAAAGAGAGUUAAACAGUACGUGAAAUUGCUGAAAGGGAAACGCUUGAAGUCAGUCGCGUUGUCCGGGACUCAGCCUUGCUUCGGCUUGGUGCACUUCCCGGAUGACGGGCCAGCAUCGAUUUUGACCGCUGGAAAAGGGCUGGAGGAAUGUGGCACCUUCGGGUGUGUUAUAGCCUCCAGUCGCAUACGGCGGUUGGGAUCGAGGAACGCAGCACGCCUUUACGGCGGGGGUUCGCCCACCUUCGUGCUUAGGAUGCUGGCAUAAUGGCUUUAAACGACCCGUCUUGAAACACGGACC
rnacentral:rRNA from 1 species